ensembl:lncRNA
UUUAAAGAUCCCUUUGCGUUGCAAGAGCCAUGUGAAGCAGUCUCUACAGACAGGAGCAGCACCCAAAUUAAGCUAGUGUGGAAGAAAGAGGAACAAGAAACCUUUGUAAAAGGCCCCGUGAAAUCCUCCCCGUGCAAGAGAGCCCAUCCGCCGUGUAGGCAGGCGGCAUGAUUAGCGAUGGGCGACACCGUCCACCCUGGUGCCAGGGAGCUUCUCGGAUCCACUCUACCAUCCAGGCAAGACGUGACUCACGCCGCUCGCUUGCAACGAAGGAGGACCAUCUGCUAGUCAUGAGCAGAUGACAAAUUCACUGCAUUGCGUCUUGUCGCUACUACCAAAUUUCGAGGGCAUCGUCCGCACAAAGCAUCCCCGUUUUGAAGGACAAGAGCCUAUGGUGGAUGAAAAAUUGCACGAAUGUCACCUAUGGAAGCUGUACACUAAACCCAGACAUAAGAAGGCGCCAAAUCACAGGACCAUCCUCGCCUUACUGCUCCUACACUUCACACUCCCCAUGGAAGGUAACUCUGUUGCUUGUAGAGAGGCACUGUCCUUUUCCAGUCCACCUCAGGGCGAAUAACUGCUUUGCUCUAAGUCUCUGCCAUCUGGAUCAGCCCUACAUGAUGAUGAAG